AUUGACUGCCAUUUGUAUAACGACAGUUUUACUACAAAUAGGCUACCACAUUAAACUAUGGAGUGUACCAUGGUUAAUUUAUGAUUACCAUGUGAGUACAAUAAUCAUGUUUUUUUGGUUUUAUUUGUAGCCUACCAUGGUUAAUGUCGUAAUUAAGGGAGCAAGUACUGUCAUGUUUUUUCGGGGUGUUUUAGUUAAAAAUUAAUCCUCCAGUCAUUUUAAAUCUGUAGGCUAGUUUAAAUUGAUCCGAACUGAAUGAAUCUAAACGAGUCUUUUGAACAGAAUCGCAAAAUUUGAGUGAGUUAAUGAAAUAAAAUCCACACUAUUCGCGGUAAUGCUGUAUCUCGGGGUUUGGUAAUAGAGGUAAUGAACAGUAAUAUAUCAAGCACUGACAUUCCAGGCCUCGCAUUUAGAGCUGAUUCACACGAGACUCGCAAUUCUUGAUGCCCGUGAAUCGAAUCUUUUUGGAAUCGACUCACUGUCCUUAUCCCUCCCGCCGUAGCUGUUGUUUGAAUUUGCGCUGGCGUGCUGACAGGAGAGCUUGUGUUCUGAGGGGCUACUGGCUGACAGCGUCCGGUAAUUUCUGAGAGAUUAAACUCAGAUGAAGCAUAACUUUGUUUGAGCUGUUUAUUCCCGCUUCAAGUGCUUUGCUGUUGCGCGCGCUGAUUUUCUGAGAGAUUUACAUCUGACGAAGGUUAGUAUAAAUACAUAAAACCUUUUAAAUAACAUGUUUAUCCGAACAUAACAUUACAAAUUCUACAAUGUUGUAUAAUUUCUUUCAAACUUUAACCCAGUGUUGUUUUGAGCCAUUUGUUCCCACUUCAGCGGCCUUCAUCAGAAAGUCUCCAAACACUGCAGCUGACUUCUGAUUCACUAUAUAUCACCGCAUUUCUCACCUCCAUUCCCAGACGACAGCAGGCCAAAUAUGCUUAUUCUCUCUAUUAUAUAUACACGUGACCUUGUGAAUUGCUGUAUAGUUCAGCUAACAAAAUAGCUGCCUGUUUUCAUUACAUUUGUGUUAUAAUGUUACGUUUCAUCAUACUAACUUGUGUUUAAACAAUGAAAACUGUAAAAUGUAUUUAGAGAUGUGUAUUAAUGUAAUGUAUUAAGUGUUUUAUUAUAUUUUUACAGGAUCCUCUGUUCCCAAACCCAACAAUUCAUCUGAAGGAUGAAGGAAAAUAUGAACCCUUUGAACCACUGGUGACAGUUUCCACAUGAUAAAUAGAAAGGACAUGGCAGAGGAUGAUGGGGUAUUGAUAUUUCACUGAAAUUAAAUAUAAUUUAAUUACAUUUAGUCUGCUAGUCAGAAUUAUAGCUGAUUAAAUAAAAAGAAAUAGUGGUUCAUGUUUGUUUUGGGAUAGUGUUUCAUGAGUCCUUUUGUCCUGAACAGUUUGAAUGGCCGC
ensembl:lncRNA